AUUCAGCUGACGAGUCCCAAACAAGACGAAACGGACGCCCUGAAU
rnacentral:hammerhead_ribozyme from 1 species